rnacentral:rRNA from 1 species
UACGUAGGGACCAAGCGUUGUUCGGAUUUACUGGGCGUAAAGGGCGCGUAGGCGGCAAUUCAAGUCAGCUGUGAAAUCUCCGGGCUUAACUCGGAACGGUCAGCUGAUACUGCUUUGCUAGAGUGCAGAAGGGGCAAUCGGAAUUCUUGAUGUAGCGGUGAAAUGCGUAGAUAUCAAGAGGAACACCUGAGGUGAAGACGGGUUGCUGGGCUGACACUGACGCUGAGGCGCGAAAGCGUGGGGAGCAAACAGG